AAUGAAGGAUUACGGACCAGCUAAGGGAGGCAUUAGGAUCCCUUUUCUUGCCUCCCUUAACUGGUCCCUAAUUCUUCGUU
ensembl:miRNA